CUUUACUGUAAGUUAGAGUGCAAGUGCAUGGCAUACUAUACAGUACACACCACAUUACCAUUUAGUGUGUUCUCUGAGAGAGAGGGGUGCAUGCUAUACGUUCAUACUAGCCGGGAGGGGGAGGGGGGUACUGUAUGUGUGGCAGUAACCAGCACCUGGAGACAGAGGGAGAUGGACGGAGGUUGAGAACGAUGGGGAUUCAUAGAGUAGGAUGAUAGAUGGACGGAGGUUGAGAACGAUGGGGAUGCAUAGAGUAGGAUGAUAGAUGGACGGAGGUUGAGAACGAUGGGGAUGCAUAGAGUAGGAUGAUAGAUGGACGGAGGUUGAGAACGAUGGGGAUGCAUAGAGUAGGAUGAUAGAUGGACGGCGGUUGAGAACGAUGGGGAUGCAUAGAGUAGGAUGAUAGAUGGACGGCGGUUGAGAACGAUGGGGAUGCAUAGAGUAGGAUGAUAUAUGGACGGAGGUUGAGAACGAUGGGGAUGCAUAGAGUAGGAUGAUAUAUGGACGGAGGUUGAGAACGAUGGGGAUGCAUAGAGUAGGAUGAUAGAUGGACGGCGGUUGAGAACGAUGGGGAUGCAUAGAGUAGGAUGAUAGAUGGACCGAGGUUGAGAACAAUGGGGAUGCAUAGAGUAGGAUGAUAGAUGGACGGAGGUUGAGAACGAUGGGGAUGCAUAGAGUAGGAUGAUAGAUGGACGGAGGUUGAGAACGAUGGGGAUGCAUUGGAGUAGGAUGAUAGAUGGACGGCGGUUGAGAACAAUGGGGAUGCAAAGAGUAGGAUGAUAGAUGGAUGCGGAGGAAUGUUUCUGCCAUAAAGUGCCCAACCUUCCACAUACUCCUGAUGUGGAAGUCAUCUGUUUGAAUACAACGCCCCUUCAACAACAAUAUGAGCUACCACACCAACCCUUCCACAUGCGUGCGCAGAUAUGAUCAACGUUAUAAAAUAGACUGCCAGCCAUUUGCGUGGUGCAAGUGAUUUAGCCUAUAGAUUGAACAGAUGGACGGACAUACAGACAUGUACUGUAGACAGACAGUGUUUGUGCAGUAUGUUUCCAGUGGAGACUAGCUGACUUGCUGUUCACUGUUGCUGCUGUUGCAUAUGGGGACUGGAGCUGGGAGAGAGCAGGGCAUUGUGGGAGUAGUCUGGUUCUAGUUGGUUGGCUCUGGCUCCAGCAGGCAGCCAUGGCCCAGCCACGCUCUGACAGCAGAAAGAGAGAGAGGGAAGGAGAAAGAGAGGGCCUGUAAUUAGCACCAGGGUCUGUCUUCCGCAUUCCACAUCUGUAACUUACAGAGUGUAGUGGACUGCCUGCCUGCCUGCCUACCUGCUUGCAUGUCUGUCUGCUGAGCCGACAGAGCGUCCAGCUCCCUGCCACAAUACCUUGUCUUCCCUUCCCUCCACUGGCUGAGCAUAUCCAGACCCUCUCUCUCUCUCUAUGCCCCCCUCUCUCUCUCUCUCUCUCUCUCUAUGCCUCUCUCUCUCUCUCUAUGCCUCUCUCUCUCUCUCUAUGCCCCUCUCUCUCUAUGCCUCUCUCUCUCUCUCUCUCUCUCUCUCUCUCUCUCUCUCUCUCUCUCUAUGCCUCUCUCUCUCCCUCUCUCUCUGCCUCUCCCUCUCAGUUCAAUUUAAGGGACUUAAUUGGCAUAGGAAAUGUCUCUCUCUCUCUCGCUCUCUCUCUCUCUGCGUGUGUGUUCGUCUUGCUAUAUCCAUUUGUGACUCCUUCUCUGUGAGCACGAGAUUUCUCUCAAUGCUUCCAGCAUUUCCC
ensembl:lncRNA